GGUGUUGUAGCUCAGCAGUAGAGCACCCGCUUGGUAUGCAGAAGAUCUCAGGGUUCAAUCCCCAUCAACGUCU
rnacentral:tRNA from 1 species